UAGUUCUGAUGUCUUCAUAAUUCUGUGAUACUUUUAUUAGUUUUUAAAUGCAAACAAAAAAUGGGACGAAUCCCUCCUUAAGAUUUGUCGUAAGAGAUUUUUUUUAUUUUCAAACUUAUGCAAAAAAGUUUUUUUUGUUAGAAGGACUACUGUUCUGUGAUUAGGCCUGGACUCUUUAUGAUGGAUUCAACCGAUGUCGACCUGUCGCAGUUCCCACCCUACACCGUUAUGUUGUGGAAAAAAUUUAUAGGAAACCCACAACUGUUAUAUAAUCUGUUUUGCACCAGCUAUCCGUCGGACCGUGUUCUGGAUAUGACAGGAAUUUGGAUCAACUCAAAACUGAAAGAGUUAAAGGUGAAUAAUUUAGAAGAACUACAGCGACUGAGAAAUGAUCUCUUGACAAAGCCUAUAUUAUUCCACGUCAAAGUAACGCACCUAACAAGAAAUGACUGUGAGGUCAUACUUGGACCGAGGAGCUGGACAAAGCAGUUUGUUGUCCUCGUUUGUUAUUUCAGUGGUUAGCUCUACUACAGUUUGGUAUCUCCGUCUUUUAUGUAGAGCAGUUUGUCGUCCUCGUAAACACCAGACAUCAAUCCAUUCGGGAAAUCCUCUCACACAAGCUCAAUGAGAUCACACAGAAAAUGCAAGAGGGUGAAAAGUUCUGUCUAAAGCUGGAUUUUGGUCCUCCUGUUCAACAGUGGUUCAGUGGAGUGGUGGAUCCAUACUUUUACUGGGAUAGUUCCCGCAGCAGCACUGACUUCGGACACAUGGAGAUCUUUAUCCACAACUACACCACGCCCAUAAAGCGCUGUAGUGAUCCACUUUUAAUCUUUCUCUGUUUUCCCUUCUGGUUGCUCUUUGGGGGCUCAUGCUACUGGAUUCACAGAAACAUAAAAUGCGCCGAUGACGUCUGUGAAUUCCAUGAUUGUCCCGUGCUGAUUAGAUGAAUGACGACGUGUUUGAAUCCCAUGGUUGUCCCAUGGUGAUUGGGUAUAUGCACUGAUGAAUUCCAGGAUUAUCCCAUGAUGAUUGGAUGAUUUCAAUAAAGAAGUGGGAUUACAUGUAAUAUAAGAGUUAUCACUGUAUCGGGAUUGAUGUUCCUCACGUUCAUGACAAUACUUGUGUUAUUUUUCAUAAACUUUUCGUCGAUAUUUCAAAAAAUAUAUGCUUAUAUAUACAUGAAUGUAAAAUUAAGAAUUUUUCCUUACCACAUUAGCGAUAUGUAAUAUUCAUAAUUUAUAUCUUCCAUUCUAGCGAAAAUAUUGCUGCAAGGUAUUUUUCAUUACAUAUAAGCAUGUGCCUUUGACACAUUUCGGCCAUGUUAUUUUUUGUUGUACGCUGUCAAAUGAAUUUAAUGCACGAUUUGCUUUAUAAUCAACUUAAAAACUGAAAAAAAAUGUUUAAUUUAUAUGGGAAAAAAUUGUAGCCGGUACUGUUCUUUUCUCAAUUAUGUUCAUGUUUUCUCUUUAAUCAAAACUACUGGUCUAGUUUCAACAAAAUACUUCUUAAAAGUAUUCAUCAUGUUGAUAUGAAGUAGAAUUUGUACAAAAUCUUAUAUGUGAAAAGAAAAAAAAAACACUUGCUGGUGCCUUCAACUCGAUAUAAAGAUAUGUCUACGACGUCGCAAUAUAUAUCACGAUGAUCUUGAAAUAAAAGAUACUGUCCUCCACAAAAAUUUGAAUUUUUCAAUUAAAUUUUGUAUAGAGGACAAUACAACAGAGUCUGACACAUCUGUAUCAUAUUUGGAUAUUUUACUA